UACGUAGGGGGCAAGCGUUGUCCGGAUUCAUUGGGCGUAAAGAGCGUGUAGGCGGCCUGAAAGGUCAGCUGUGAAAACUCGGGGCUCAACCCCGAGACGUCGGUUGAAACCAUCUGGCUAGAGUCCGGAAGAGGAGUGUGGAAUUCCCGGUGUAGCGGUGAAAUGCGCAGAUAUCAGGAGGAACACCGGUGGCGAAGGCGGGUCUCUGGGAAGUAACUGACGCUGAGAAGCGAAAGCAUGGGUAGCAAACAGG
rnacentral:rRNA from 1 species